CCUACGGGAGGCUGCAGUGAGGAAUAUUGGUCAAUGGUCGGGAGACUGAACCAGCCAAGCCGCGUGAGGGAUGAAGGUACAGAGUAUCGUAAACCUCUUUUGUCAGGGAACAAAGGCGGGGACGUGUCCCCGGAUGAGUGUACCUGAAGAAAAAGCAUCGGCUAACUCCGUGCCAGCAGCCGCGGUAAUACGGAGGAUGCGGGCGUUAUCCGGAUUUAUGGGGUUUAAAGGGUGCGCAGGCGGUCUGUUAAGUCAGCGGUCAAAGCCCGGGGCUCAACCCCGGCCCGCCGUUGAAACUGGCAGUCUCGAGUUGGAGAGAAGUAUGCGGAAUGCGCGGUGUAGCGGUGAAAUGCAUAGAUAUCGCGCAGAACUCCGAUUGCGAAGGCAGCAUGCCGGCUCCACACUGACGCUGAGGCACGAAAGCGUGGGUAUCGAACAGGAUUAGAUACCCGGGUAGUC
rnacentral:rRNA from 1 species